CAGGUGCUGCAUGGUUGUCGUCAGCUCGUGUCGUGAGAUGUAAGGUUUAAGUACCUUGAACGAGCGCAACCCCUUUCGUCAGUUGCAAACCAGCAAUGGCGCACCCUGACGAUACUGCCAGCUAAAGUUGGAGGAAGGAGGGGAUGACGUCAAAUCCUCAUGGCCUUUAUGUCCAGGGCUACACACAUGCGACAAUGGUCGGUACAACGGGUUGCAACACCGCGAGGUGAAGCCAAUCCCUAAAAACCGGCCUCAGUUCAGAUUGCAGACUGCAAUUCGUCUACAUGAAGAUGGAGUUGCUAGUAACCGCGGGUCAGCUACACCGCGGUGAAUACGUUCCCGGGGAUU
rnacentral:rRNA from 1 species